rnacentral:rRNA from 1 species
UACGUAGGGUCCGAGCGUUGUCCGGAAUUAUUGGGCGUAAAGGGCUCGUAGGCGGUUUGUCGCGUCGGGAGUGAGAACCAGGUGCUUAACACCUGGCCUGCUUUCGAUACGGGCAGACUAGAGGCAUUCAGGGGAGAACGGAAUUCCUGGUGUAGCGGUGAAAUGCGCAGAUAUCAGGAGGAACACCGGUGGCGAAGGCGGUUCUCUGGGAAUGUCCUGACGCUGAGGAGCGAAAGUGUGGGGAGCGAACAGG